GCUAUGUUGCGCGUAAAGAACCUGGUAUAAACAAUGAUUUACUCCCACAUUGUCCCGAAGAGUAGCACGAGCACAGUUGAACCAUGAAGAUUCCACGUUUCUUACUUUAAGAACCAGGAAAUAUUAAAGAGCCGGUUCAAUGGGAGGCAGGUACAGCAAUGCAUCGUCCAUGUGAUUAUUUUUUGUCCAUUUAAAAGGGCUGUCUUAAUAUUUUUAUCCACACUUUUUGCGUGUGGUUGGUAACAACGAACUCAUGGUGACCAACUCAGCUUGAUGGCCAGGUCGAUCUACUCCGUUGUGGUUGGCAACUAAGCUCGCACCAAACAGGGUGUUGGGUAUCCGGGCCCUCCCGUAAGUUCAUUCAGACAACGUCAUUCGUAUAUCUCCUCCACCAACCUCCUACUACUUGCGUUCUUCAUAUAGGAGCUGCGAAAAUGUUGCUGCUUCAACGUUCUUCAGAUAAGCAACCUUUUUUUUUUUUAAGAUAAUGAGAUAAGCAACCAUGAGUGACUUCAUUGACUUCAAGAUGGAUGGUUGGCUUGGUGUUUCAAAGGUCCGAGGUUUGUUGAAAAUUUAGGGUUAUCUUCACGUCUUCCAGUUGACUCUAUUAUUAAUCCUUGAUGCUUUCAUAGGAGAAGUGGGAGACUGUACGUAAUGAAACUACACUCUUAGAAUCGGUAGCCACGAGUCUUUUGUCCUACUUUGGUUGGUGUAAUUUUUUUUAGAAUAUUGUUAUAGGUUCUAUGUGUUUUCUAACUGAUAUUUUGUUUUUAGAAAGAAGAUGAGGUUUGUGUCCCAUAACCUUAAGCUUUUUUAUCUUUUUUUUUUUCUUGACUCAUUAGCCGUGCGCAUAUUGGCAGAAACCGGAGAUGUAAAUCAUUUUCAUUAUGUAAAAAAAAUACUUAGUUGUACGUAAAA